GUUUUGCCUGCAAGUAGCCUCUCAAAACAAGCUGCAUAAACACCCUUUUAAGUCCUGCAAUGCCUCCUGAGAGCUGUAUUAACAAUAGCCCGGGACAGCAGGGAGGAGGAUGUUGAAAGCCCUUUUUACACCACUUUACACUACUGGAAUCCAGAGAUUGUGGGAGAAGGAAACAGUGUGCAUGUUUAUAUGCUUAGAAGCAAAGAGAGGUCUCCUUUUCCCUGCUUUCUUAAAGGUAAGUAAAACAGGAAAAGAACAAAUUUAUUCUCAGAGUUGGAAACUAUGAAUAAUUUAUCCUUUGAAAACUUCCACUAUCUCUGCAUAAAAGGAGGUCCUAUUAUUAUAAGCAUUUCUUUCUCAGCAUGUCAAUAAGAGAGAGAUCAGAACUGACUGAUUUUUGUGAUGCCUUUACUUUUAGAGAGCUGAACAGCUUUACCUGGUUGACAUUAGAAGCUGUUUUUAAAACAGCAUUUAAAACAACCUCUAGCAAGUAGAUUUAAUAUUAAUGUGAGAUUAGACCUCUGCUAAAAGGUCUAUGAGAACUGAAAGGUUAAACAAAUCCUUGGAGGUGUUUGUGUGACUACAUAACUUAAGUUCUUUGUGUAUCAAAUUGAUUUUCCCCACGUAUCCAAAGUUUUUAAUGGUUGAGUUUUUCAUUCAGAGAAUGUUUAUUAUGAUUCUUGUCUUGGAUUUGUGAGUGUUUACAUAAGAUAGAACACUUGAAAAUUAACAUACUGCUCUGGAACAUGCCCAUCAUCCCACCCUGGCACUUCUGUCUUGGCUCUACAAAUGGAAUGGCUUUUUUUUUUGUGUUUGUGAUAAGCAAGCUCCACAGACCUGACAGAUGCCUGUAUUCCCCAGGGGGAAAUCAUCACCUCAGCACUUUUCUCUGGUUUUCAGUGAACUUUGGGGAGUGAGGGAUAGAAUGACACUACCUCCUUUUACUGCAUUUGGACAUCCCCUGCAUAUUGUGGCCAGAAAAACACUAUUUUUGCUUAGAUGUGUAAGGUGAAUGUAGACAUAUUCAUUAUUUCCUAUCAUUGUAAGUUGUUAUAAGUAAUAUCUGGAAAUCAAAGUUAUAGGCCAACAAAAUAUGUUCUUGGGAUAUGUUGAAUUGUUGGAACUGGUGUGUUUUCCUCUGUGGUAUUUGUAGAGGAUCAGAGUUCCUGAGCUGGGAGUAGAGUGUUACAGGUAAACCCAAGAGUGGAAAGCCUGAUUUACACUGACUUCACUAAGGUUGCCCUACAGAUAAUGAAACAAUAUAAUUUGUCAAAUGCGAUAAUUUU
rnacentral:lncRNA from 1 species